ensembl:lncRNA MYHAS myosin heavy chain gene cluster antisense RNA
UGACUCCUGCCGUAGCUGCGGCAGGCCUGGAGGCCGUACUGGGACCUGGCCAAAGACCCAGAAGUCCAGCUUUGAAGAAAACCUGGAGAAAGAGAGAGUCACAAAUCAUCUCCAUACUGCAGGAGAUGCAGAAAUGGCAGAAGAACCCUCUGCACCUGGCCUGGGUUCGGGUAAUCAGCUGGGCCAGCUUGUCAUCUCGCAUCUCCUCUAGGAGCCCCAGAAGACCAGCUUUGAAAAAGACCUGUGAAUGGAAAGAGUUGCAAAUCACAAGCUUUAAUAAAGUUCAAAGGGACAGGAAUAGCAUCAGAAUACACCAUAAUCAGGAGAAACUGACCUCUGUUUGAAGUCUGCAUAAAGGAUUCUGCUUGGAAAUCCUUUCCUACAGAUGCGGAUGCCUUCCAGCACACCGUUACACCUCAGCUGGUGGAGGACAAGCUCAUGCUCCAUGGCACCUAAAAAUGCAUAUUUAUUUCACUGCAGAGCUGUUGAAAAGGAGAAUUAAAAUAAAAAGCAGCGAAUAAUAUAGUUGCCGCAAAAUAUGGUUUCAGAAAUGCAAAACCAACCUUCUCGAUGAGCUCGAUGCAGGCAGCCAGGUCCAUCCCGAAGUCGAUGAACGUCCACUCGAUGCCUUCCUUCUUGUACUCCUCCUGCUCCAGCACGAACAUGUGGUGGUUGAAAAACUGUUGCAGUUUCUCAUUGGUGAAGUUGAUGCACAGCUGCUCCAGGCUGUUGAACUAAAUAAAUAGAUAUGUUUACU